rnacentral:rRNA from 1 species
AGUUCGGAUUGUAGGCUGAAACUCGCCUACAUGAAGCUGGAGUUACUAGUAAUCGCAGAUCAGAAUGCUGCGGUGAAUGCGUUCCCGGGUCUUGUACACACCGCCCGUCACACCCCGGGAGUUGGAGACGCCCGAAGCCGAUUAUCUAACCUUUUGGAAGAAGUCGUCGAAGGUGGAAUCAAUAACUGGGGUGAAGUCGUAACAAGGUAGCCGGAUCGGAAGGUGCGGCUGGAUCACCUCCU